GGAGCAGGUGAUGAGAACAAGACAAGGACAUCAGAACCUUCUUCUGGGAGUGAUAGACCAACGUCUUCAAUGGGAAUCUCUCUGAUGCUUU